rnacentral:rRNA from 1 species
ACACCUACGGGUGGCAGCAGCAAGGAAUUUUCCGCAAUGGGCGAAAGCCUGACGGAGCAACGCCGCGUGUGGGAUGACGCUUUUCGGAGUGUAAACCACUGUUCGUGGGGACGAAGCACUGACGGUACCCACGGAGGAAGGCCCGGCUAACUACGUGCCAGCAGCCGCGGUAAUACGUAGGGGUCGAGCGUUGUCCGGAGUUACUGGGCGUAAAGCGCAUGCAGGCGGCUCAUUACGCACGGCGUGAAAGCCCCCGGCUCAACCGGGGAGGGUCGUCGUGUACGGGUGAGCUUGAGGGUAUCAGGGGCUGGUGGAAUUCCCGGUGUAGUGGUGAAAUGCGUAGAGAUCGGGA